rnacentral:rRNA from 1 species
GACGAACGCUGGCGGCGUGCUUAAUACAUGCAAGUCAACUGAACUUAAGAUAGCAAUAUUUUAAGGGAGGUGGCGCACGGGUGAGUAACACGUAGGUAAUCUGCCUUUAGGUCUGACAUAACCUACCGAAAGGUAGGCUAAAAUCAGAUGAUGCAGCGGCUCGACAUCGAGACAGUUGUUAAAUCUUCGGAGCCUAGAGAUGAGCCUGCGUCUGAUUAGGUAGUUGGCGGAGUAAUAGCCCACCAAGCCUGCGAUCAGUAGCUGGUCUGAGAGGAUAAUCAGCCACACUGGAACUGAGACACGGUCCAGACUCCUACGGGAGGCAGCAGUAAGGAAUAUUGCUCAAUGGCCGAAAGGCUGAAGCAGCAACGCCGCGUGGAGGAUGAAAUACUUUGUAUGUAAACUCCUGUAAGAAGGGAAAAAUAGUCCUGAUUUAUCAGGAUUGAUUGUACCUUCUAGAGUAAGCCCCGGCUAACUACGUGCCAG